AUUACCUCUGCCAAAGGAGUCUGC
rnacentral:piRNA from 1 species